rnacentral:rRNA from 1 species
ACUCCUGCGGGAGGCAGCAGUGGGGAAUAUUGGACAAUGGGCGCAAGCCUGAUCCAGCCAUGCCGCGUGAGUGAUGAAGGCCCUAGGGUUGUAAAGCUCUUUCACCGGUGAAGAUAAUGACUGUAACCGGAGAAGAAGCCCCGGCUAACUUCGUGCCAGCAGCCGCGGUAAUACGAAGGGGGCUAGCGUUGUUCGGAUUUACUGGGCGUAAAGCGCACGUAGGCGGACUAUUAAGUCAGGGGUGAAAUCCCGGGGCUCAACCCCGGAACUGCCUUUGAUACUGGUAGUCUUGAGUUCGAGAGAGGUGAGUGGAAUUCCGAGUGUAGAGGUGAAAUUCGUAGAUAUUCGGAGGAACACCAGUGGCGAAGGCGGCUCACUGGCUCGAUACUGACGCUGAGGUGCGAAAGCGUGGGGAGCAAACGGGAUUAGAAACCCGUGUAGUCCCA